GGCUGACGCAAUACAAAUUUCAAGGCUGUGGAACCAGGAGAAGGUCUGAGGAACGGAGCUCCCGGAAGUAAAGGCAUUGCCUCACAUUUGAGUGGAUCCAGAGCAUGGGAUGAUGUCACCUACAUUCAGAAUAAGUGUUUCCUUCUCAGAUAAAUCCAGAGGUACAUCAGCGAGGGGAUUCCAAAUCCUGUCAAAGACAAACCAGCAGAGUAUUCAAGUGUCCCUCAAGAGAGGGAAGUGGGUCAAAGAUACAAUUUAUGUAUUGCAUGUAUUCAUUUGACAUUUAUAAGAUGUACGCAACUCUAUGUAUAUUUGUAUAUCUACAUGCACGUGUGCAGGUGCCCACAGAGAUGAGGAAGAACAUUGGGUUCCUAGGACCUGCCUGAUGUGAGAGGAGGAACUAGAUGUAGGUCCCCUCAAAGAGCAGCAUGUACUCUUAACUACCACUGAGCCACCUCUCAGCCCUAUUUUAUUGUUUUGAGUCAGGGUCUUGCUAUACAGCCUGCAAUGGCCUUGAGCUUGAGUGAUCCCCUUCCUCAGCAUCCUCAAUGCUAGGACCACACGUGUGCAUGUGAGUCUCAAAAAUAAAUGUUAAUCAUGAACCAGAAAUUAAUAACAAAGGUUAUUAGUGAAGAGAAUGGGUGCCCUGUCUGCCUUAUUAAGGAAACAAGUUACAGGGACAUUGCAGAGAGUAGCCCUUACCCAAAAUGCUUGGGGGCACUAGCAUUUUGAAUGUAAAGUUGUUUUGGAUUUGCAUAUACAUAAUGAGAAAUCUUGGAGAUGCAGCCCAAGUCUAAACACUCAGUUCAUUUGUAACUCCUACACAUGUACACACAUUGACUGAAAGUAAUUUUCUAGAAUAACAUUUGUGCACCUGCACUUUGACUGUAGCCACAUUAAAUCAAAUAAAAGACUUUCUAUUUAUAGUAUCA
rnacentral:lncRNA from 1 species